CUGCCCUCAAGCACGGCUUGUGUGUUAGGCCCCGUCCUCCGCUCGCGGGGGACGGGCCUGAAAGGCAGCGGCGGCACCGCGUCCGGUCCUCGAGCGUAUGGGGCUUUGUCACCCGCUCUGUAGGCCCGGCCGGCGCCUGCCGAUCAACCACACUUUUAUUCA
rnacentral:misc_RNA from 1 species